CCUCUUGGAGAAGAGAAAAGCUCAGCAGUAUGGACUGGACCUGGAGAAUCCUCUUUCUGCUGGCAGCUGUGAAAAGUGCCCAUGGCCAGGUGCAGCUGGAGCAGUCUGGGGCUGAGCUGAAGAGGCCUGGGGCCUCAGUGAAGUUAUCUUGCAAGGUUACUGGCUACACUUCCACUAUUGCAUGGAUAAGCUGGGUGCGACAGGGCUCUGGACAGGGGCUGGAGUGGAUCGGAGCUGUAGACCUAAGAGAUGGAGAAAUUAGAUAUGCUCAGAAGUUCCAGGGCAGAGCCACCAUCACUGGAGACAAGUCCUCAAGCACAUCCAACAUGGAACUGAGAAGUCUGGGGUCUGAGGACACAGCUGUGUAUUAUUGUGCGAAACACAGUGUGGUAACCACAUCCUGCAUGUGUCAGAAAACCUGA